UGGGGAAUAUUGCACAAUGGGCGCAAGCCUGAUGCAGCCAUGCCGCGUGUGUGAAGAAGGCCUUCGGGUUGUAAAGCACUUUCAGCGGGGAGGAAGGCGAUAAGGUUAAUAACCUCAUCGAUUGACGUUACCCGCAGAAGAAGCACCGGCUAACUCCGUGCCAGCAGCCGCGGUAAUACGGAGGGUGCAAGCGUUAAUCGGAAUUACUGGGCGUAAAGCGCACGCAGGCGGUCUGUCAAGUCGGAUGUGAAAUCCCCGGGCUCAACCUGGGAACUGCAUUCGAAACUGGCAGGCUAGAGUCUUGUAGAGGGGGGUAGAAUUCCAGGUGUAGCGGUGAAAGGCGUAGAGAUCUGGAGGAAUACCGGUGGCGAAGGCGGCCCCCUGGACAAAGACUGACGCUCAGGUGCGAAAGCGUGGGGAGCAAACAGG
rnacentral:rRNA from 1 species